UACGUAGGGGGGCUAGCGUUGUCCGGAAUCAUUGGGCGUAAAGAGCGUGUAGGCGGUCCGGUAAGUCCGCUGUGAAAGUCGGGGGCUCAACCCUCGAAUGCCGGUGGAUACUGUCGGGCUAGAGUGCGGAAGAGGCGAGUGGAAUUCCUGGUGUAGCGGUGGAAAUGCGCAGAUAUCAGGAGGAACACCUAUUGCGAAGGCAGCUCGCUGGGACGUAACUGACGCUGAGGCGCGAAAGCUGGGGAGCAAAAGGG
rnacentral:rRNA from 1 species